rnacentral:rRNA from 1 species
UCAAGGAGAACAUUAUCUUCGGAUAAUAAGUAAACUGGCGAACGGGUGAGUAACGCGUAAACAACUUGCCUCAGAGAUUGGGACAACAUUGGGAAACCAGUGCUAAUACCAAAUAAUGCAGCGGGCUCUUCGGAGCACAGUUGUUAAAGUAGGCUUCGGCUUACACUUUGAGAUAGGUUUGCGUCCGAUUAGUUAGUUGGUAGGGUAAAAGCCUACCAAGACCAAGAUCGGUAGCUGGUCUGAGAGGAUGAUCAGCCACACUGGAAUUGAGAUACGGUCCAGACUCCUACGGGAGGCAGCAGUAAGGAAUUUUGCACAAUGGGCGAAAGCCUGAUGCAGCAACGCCGCGUGAACGAUGAAGUUUUUAGGAAUGUAAAGUUCUGUCGUAUGGGAAGAGAUCUUUCGAAUGCUAAUACCAUUCGUUAAUGACGGUACCAUACAAGAAAGCACCGGCUAACUUCGUGCCAGCAGCCGCGGUAAUACGAGGGGUGC